rnacentral:lncRNA from 1 species
CUCUGGUUUGGGUCUUGCAGGUGUCCCUCUCUGGGAAAUGGCCAAUAACAGGCUCCGAGCACCAUUGAUGGAUGGCGUAGAAGAAACAGGUGACUCGGCACGCUCGAGCCAAGUCUGGAUCUCGGGAAGAGCCUCACAGGGCUGCUUCCAUCUAAUUCAGAACUUUGGAAUUGGAGCAGAUUCCCCACCGAGUAGAAGAGGCAUCCGCAAAUCUGAUUUGAAAGAUUGGUUUGAAGUAAAGCUGUGGCAAACUUCCCGGAGUCUUGCGGUUUUCUGGGUCCCUGACUCUGCAUUUGUCUCCUGGAAUCAUCUGAGCAGUGUGACCCCCGCCACCAAGCCCAGCCAUUCCGGGAGCAACUAAGACGAGAGGAACCUGGUCAGCUUGCACUCUUCCCCACCCGUAACUGGAUGCCCGUCUUAUAUGAAACCUAUUUAACCAGAAGAGUCUCCUGUACUAUUACUAUGUGGUCAAGGUAAUGUUGGGUUUUCCAGGAGGUGUCAAAAUUGAGGACAUGACAAUAAGUACCGGUGUAGGGAGAUAGGAGUCGUCCUUCCCCUCUUACCAAUCACUGGUACUUCUGUAUGCUGUGAGGUUGGUUUGGUUUUUUUUUUGUUUUGUUUGUUUUGUCCUUGUUUGUUUUUGAGUUUCAAUACUACGGACUAUUGCUAAUAGACAAUGCAUUUAGAUGGUGAGUCUGAUGGUGAGUCUUGCAGACAAAGCAUGCAUGGUAUUCUGUUUAAUUUUAUGUAUGGGUUCCCCGUGCCUGUGACCCUUGGUCACUACCCUCCUCAUCUCUGCGGCCCUCUGUUCUCUUUGCCACUUUCCAAGUAAAAUGUCUGUUGUGCUGUCUUUUGAUGAACAAAUGUCCACUGAGUACUUACUAUAAGCAAUUGACACUAGUUGAUGUUGCAAAAUCGUAACUUUGAAUAAGGAAGCAUCCCUUUGUUGAGGAGGUUGUUGGGUAAGCUGGAUAAGUUAACAAACUUGCAUAUAUAGUUGAAUGAAAGUGCCAAGAGAAAAGAUGGUUUCUGUGUCAGGCCUUUUUAUUUUCUGUAUUUGUGGUGUUUUGGCAUUAGGGACUUGCCAACCCCAGAGAGACUGCCCCUCACAGGGCCGGCCAAUUCCAAGACACAGUGAAAGACGUACCUGAAAGUGUGCCUGCCGUGUGAGGGCCAACCAAUCCAGAGCCCACGCCUGCCCGCUCCCUUUCUCGGGCUGCUUACGCUCCCGGGCACGAUUCCCCUAAACUAGCUGCCCCCAGCACUAGACGACUAAAAACAGCCCCUACACCCCAGAGCCCUCCGAAAUUAUUCAAAUUAGCCAAUCCCAACCUGCCUACAUAGCAGAGCCUGUUUCUUCC